UACGGAGGGUGCAAGCGUUAAUCGGAAUUGCUGGGCGUAAAGCGCGCGUAGGCGGUUAGUUAAGCUGGAUGUGAAAGCCCAGGGCUCAACCUUGGAACUGCAUUCAGAACUGGCUGGCUAGAGUACGAGAGAGGGGAGUGGAAUUUCCAGUGUAGCGGUGAAAUUCGUAGAUAUAGGGAGGAACAUCAGUGGCGAAGGCGACUGCCUGGCUCGAUACUGACGCUGAGGUGCGAAAGCGUGGGGAGCAAACAGG
rnacentral:misc_RNA from 1 species